rnacentral:rRNA from 1 species
CGGCAGGCCUAACACAUGCAAGUCGAACGGACCCUUCGGGGUUAGUGGCGGACGGGUGAGUAACACGUGGGAACGUGCCUUUUGGUUCGGAAUAGCUCCUGGAAACGGGUGGUAAUGCCGAAUGUGCCCUUCGGGGGAAAGAUUUAUCGCCAUUAGAGCGGCCCGCGUCUGAUUAGCUAGUUGGUGAGGUAAAGGCUCACCAAGGCUACGAUCAGUAGCUGGUCUGAGAGGAUGACCAGCCACAUUGGGACUGAGACACGGCCCAAACUCCUACGGGAGGCAGCAGUGGGGAAUCUUGCGCAAUGGGCGAAAGCCUGACGCAGCCAUGCCGCGUGAAUGAUGAAGGUCUUAGGAUUGUAAAAUUCUUUCACCGGGGACGAUAAUGACGGUACCCGGAGAAGAAGCCCCG